AAUAAGAAAGCAAUGUAUUUGUAUCUAGCUCCAACCUAGAAGAAAGUAAUUUUUACUCUUAUUA
rnacentral:tRNA from 1 species